ACUCCUACGGGAGGCAGCAGUGGGGAAUUUUGGACAAUGGGGGCAACCCUGAUCCAGCAAUGCCGCGUGUGUGAAGAAGGCCUUCGGGUUGUAAAGCACUUUUGUCAGGAACGAAACGGUGGGGGCUAAUAUCCUCUGCUAAUGACGGUACCUGAAGAAUAAGCACCGGCUUUCUACGUGCCAGCAGCCGCGGUAAUAC
rnacentral:rRNA from 1 species